rnacentral:rRNA from 1 species
CUUGCUUCUUCAAUCUUAGUGGCGAACGGGUGAGUAAUACAUAAGCAACCUGCCUCUAUGCCUGGGAUAACAGUUGGAAACGACUGCUAAUACCGGAUAACUUCUUCUACCUCAUGGUAGUUGAAUAAAAGAUGGGAUACAUUACAUAGAGAUGGGCUUAUGGCGCAUUAGUUAGUUGGUGAGGUAACGGCUCACCAAGCCCGCGAUCGGUAGCCGGACUGAGAGGUUGACCGGCCACAUUGGGACUGAGACACGGCCCAGACUCC